GAUGAACGCUGGCGGCGUGCCUAACACAUGCAAGUCGAGCGAUCUCUUCGGAGAGAGCGGCGGACGGGUGAGUAACGCGUGGGUAACCUGCCCUGUACACACGGAUAACAUACCGAAAGGUAUGCUAAUACGGGAUAAAAUAUGAAAGUCACAUGACUUUUGUAUCAAAGAUUUAUCGGUACAGGAUGGACCCGCGUCAGAUUAGCUAGUUGGUAAGGUAAUGGCUUACCAAGGCGACUAUCAGUAGACCACCUGAGAGGGUGAUCGGCCACACUGGAACUGAGACACGGUCCAGACUCCUACGGGAGGCAGCAGUGGGGAAUAUUGCACAAUGGGCGAAAGCCUGAUGCGGCAACGCCGCGUUAGCGAUGAAGGCCUUCGGGUCGUAAAGCUCUGUCCUCAAGGAAGAUAAUGACGGUACUUGAGGAGGAAGCCCCGGCUAACUACGUGCCAGCCGCCGCGGUAACAC
rnacentral:rRNA from 1 species